CAGGCAAGGUGAGGAGACAGAGCCAUCUCUUUCACCUGGUGACUCUGGACCUUCCUUCUCUCUGAUGAUGAAGUCCAAGCAUCUGAAUGGGGAUGAGAGAAGUGGCAGUAAUUACAGGCGGAUCCCAUGGGGCCGGAGGCCUGCACCACCGCGAGAUGUGGCCAUUUUACAAGAAAGGGCUAAUAAGUUGGUGAAAUACCUGUUGGUUAAGGACCAGACAAAGAUCCCCAUCAAACGCUCAGACAUGUUGAGGGAUGUCAUCCAAGAAUAUGAUGAAUAUUUCCCAGAAAUCAUUGAACGAGCAAGCUACACUCUGGAGAAGAUGUUUCGAGUCAAUCUGAAAGAAAUUGAUAAGCAAAGUAGCUUGUAUAUUCUCAUCAGCACUCAGGAAUCCUCUGCAGGCAUACUGGGAACGACCAAGGACACACCCAAGCUGGGUCUCCUCAUGGUGAUUCUGAGUGUCAUUUUUAUGAAUGGCAACAAGG
rnacentral:sRNA from 1 species